rnacentral:rRNA from 1 species
AGGUUCGAUCGAAGGAACAAUCAGGAUAUAUCGGAUUGGGCAAACAAACACCGUGCGUGGAUAGAAAUUUGGAAUCAAAGAGACACGUUAGUGCAAUCAGAGAAUAGACCUCACAAUCAGUCAGCAUAUCAGAAGUAUCAAGUGUGGUAUGCGGAUCGUUACCGGUUAAAGCUAAAGCCUGGUUGGACUCACGAGGAGUGGUCGGAGUUGGUGUCUGAAGACCCGGAGACUGCAGAAGGUUAUCAUACCUUCAACACGGCUGUGAGAGACACCAGAGGGGCUCACAUUGACUAUGCACCGAUGCAUGAUGAAAUGGUAGUCUGUUUGACCUAUUCUAACAAACUUGCAUGCAUCAUGUUGUCUUCUUUCAAAUACAUAAGUUUGGUGUGUUCAUGA